rnacentral:rRNA from 1 species
AGAGUUCGAUUCUGGCUCAGAUUGAACGCUGGCGGCGUGCUUAACACAUGCAAGUCGAACGCGAAAGAGACUUCGGUCUCAAGUAGAGUGGCGCACGGGUGAGUAACGCGUGGAUAAUCUGCCCUCAUGACCGGGAUAACAGUUGGAAACGGCUGCUAAUACCGGAUACGCUCUGAAUGAACUUUUAGGGGAAAGACGGCCUCUGCUUGCAAGCUGUCGUAUGAGGAUGAGUCCGCGUCCCAUUAGCUUGUUGGCGGGGUAACGGCCCACCAAGGCAACGAUGGGUAGCCGAUCUGAGAGGAUGAUCGGCCACACUGGAACUGAAACACGGUCCAG